UGGUGCUGCUAUUGUGUCUUUUCAGCCCGUGGUCCUGUUCCCCCUAGCCUGAAUCGCUUCUACACGCUUUCCUCUUGUCUUAUCUACCUUUGAUCGUCCCCUUUUUUCUCUCCCUCUCUCUCGCCAUCUUUCAGAGCAGUUAAAUGAACAUAGAAGAAUGUCAAAUAGAAAGGACAAUAAGUCGAAAUUAGUUAACAUUUUUGGGCAUUGAAUAAUUUCUACGGUUUCUUUAGUUCCGAAUUGUUUAUGUUAUCUCGUUUUAAGGUUGCUUUGGUAUAAUAAGGAUACAAAUAGGUGGAAUUUGCAUCAUUUUUUGAUGCUAAUGAGAAGUAUCGUAAACCAUUUACAUGUAAACACAAUCGUUUGGCUUACAAAAUAGUGCGAGUUUUCGGCUACUUGAAACAGACUGGUUGGGCACUGCACUAAUUCUGCCAUUUUGACUGUUCUGCAGUUGGUGUAUUUUGGUUUUUAAAUGAACCCAUCCAUACAAGUCUUUUCCUUCCAAGUCGCUUUCAGGAACAAGAGCUAGGCAGGAAUUAUGGAAACUGAACUCGAGUUGCAAUUUAGAAUAUCGAUAUAAGUCAUUUACACCGCUAAUCAUCACAAAAAUCACCAGUUUAUAACUUAUUUCCAGGCUGGAUUUACACUUUAUGCGCUAGGAUUAUUCGCAGAAAAUAAGAAAAAAGUGCAGAAAGAAGGAAAAAGUAUAGAAUAAAAGAAAAAGAGAUAAAAAGAAUAAUCUACACUUGAUCCGCGAUUUGGAUCUUGACUGACUUUUCCAACUACUGGGUUGUGAUUAGUAACGCUUGUGUUCUUUAUUAGCUCCCAACCUGCGUCAGUCGAUGAAAAUUGUCUGUUUAAGGAAGGCGCCAUGUAUGAUCAUGAACGAACUUAGCAAUCAAAUGAAUGGGUCGAAUUUGAAUAUUAAUCAGUGAUGCGUGGCCUAUUUUGCAUUUUUAAAUCCACCUGAAUUUCCCGCUUUUCCUUUCAACAGAGCGGCUAGCGUACCAUUGGUAAGAAAAUCAGAAAAAAUUCCCCAUUGGUAACUUAGUCGGCCAAAGUCCUUCACUCGCCUCAAGUAUCUCCACAGAUUAUUUUGUUCACUUUUUCUUUCUCCCCCUCGCCUUACGGAUGGCUUAACUGGCAACUUGACUGCUCUUGUUUGGCCCAAUUUAUCAGCCGAAAUAAACAAUAUCCCUCAUUUGCUUAUCUCAUUUUAUACUCUGUACUAUGCAGUUCUGAACAUAUUGCCCAACAACAGCUGCCACCAUGCGAGUAGCCGUGUUAGGAGCAACUGGCCAAACAGGCCACGCAUUCUGCAGUCUAGCCUUGAAAAACAGCCACCAAAUUGUGGCCAUUGUAAGAGACACGAACAAGAUGAACGGUCUCGGGCUGGAGCCGAACGGCGAACUACUCUCGGUUGUCGAAGCCAACAUCUUCGAGCCGAGCAACCUCGCGAAACACUUCGUAGGUGUCGACGCUGUCGUGUCGUGCCUCGGCAGCAAGUUCGUUCUUCCGUGGAAAGACGAGAGCACUUUCUAUACCGACAGUUUAAUAUCAGUUGUUUCGGCAAUGCGCGAAAGCAACGUACAAAGAUUGAUUUGCAUCUCGGCUGCGAUGAUCCGUUCCGACCAACAGAAUGUUCCGGAUAUUGAUUUGAAAAAACCACAAGAAAUGUUCAAAAAUCCCUCAAGGGUGUUCCGCAAAGUAGUCAGAACAGUUGCGGUGACUCAUCUGAAAGAUAUGGAAAAAAUGGAAAACUUUCUCAUCCAAUCAUGUCCGGAUAUCGAAUAUUCCAUAAUGAGGCCAUACGCGCUAAUUUCGAAGCCCAUGAGCAAUCGAGAAGUUGCCAUAGAAACGGACACUGAUCAGCUGGUAAACAGUGCUUUUCAUAUAUACCGCGAAAACUUAGCCCAGGAAAUGCUGAAUGGUCUGGAACAGAAUUUGUGGAUCCAAAAAACGGUUUGUUUAGCCAUGAGGAAUUAAAUUUUAGUAUUGAUUGAUUGCAAUGAAUUGUUUAUUUUCAGCCCAUAUUAUGGUGUUGAUAAGUAUUAACCUCUUAAAAAGGAA